rnacentral:rRNA from 1 species
UACGUAGGGUGCAAGCGUUAAUCGGAAUUACUGGGCGUAAAGCGUGCGCAGGCGGUUUUGUAAGCCAGAUGUGAAAUCCCCGGGCUUAACCUGGGAAUGGCAUUUGGGGACUGCAUCGCUGGAGUGCGGCAGAGGGGGGAUGGAAUUCCGGCGUGUAGCAGUGAAAUGCGUAGAUAUGUGGAGGAAUACCGAUGGCGAAGGCAGCCCC